GAUGAACGCUAGCUACAGGCUUAACACAUGCAAGUCGAGGGGCAGCAUGGUCUUAGCUUGCUAAGGCCGAUGGCGACCGGCGCACGGGUGAGUAACACGUAUCCAACCUGCCGUCUACUCUUGGACAGCCUUCUGAAAGGAAGAUUAAUACAAGAUGGCAUCAUGAGUCCGCAUGUUCACAUGAUUAAAGGUAUUCCGGUAGACGAUGGGGAUGCGUUCCAUUAGAUAGUAGGCGGGGUAACGGCCCACCUAGUCUUCGAUGGAUAGGGGUUCUGAGAGGAAGGUCCCCCACAUUGGAACUGAGACACGGUCCAAACUCCUACGGGAGGCAGCAGUGAGGAAUAUUGGUCAAUGGGCGAGAGCCUGAACCAGCCAAGUAGCGUGAAGGAUGACUGCCCUAUGGGUUGUAAACUUCUUUUAUAAAGGAAUAAAGUCGGGUAUGGAUACCCGUUUGCAUGUACUUUAUGAAUAAGGAUCGGCUAACUCCGUGCCAGCAGCCGCGGUAAUACGGAGGAUCCGAGCGUUAUCCGGAUUUAUUGGGUUUAAAGGGAGUGUAGAUGGAUAUUUAAGUCAGUUGUGAAAGUUUGCGGCUCAACCGUAAAAUUGCAGUUGAUACUGGAUAUCUUGAGUGCAGUUGAGGCAGGCGGAAUUCGUGGUGUAGCGGUGAAAUGCUUAGAUAUCACGAAGAACUCCGAUUGCGAAGGCAGCCUGCUAAGCUGCAACUGACAUUGAGGCUCGAAAGUGUGGGUAUC
rnacentral:rRNA from 1 species